rnacentral:rRNA from 1 species
GACGAACGCUGGCGGCGUGCUUAACACAUGCAAGUCGAACGGAGAGGCCCUGCUUUUGUGGGGUGCUCGAGUGGCGAACGGGUGAGUAACACGUGAGUAACCUGCCCUUGACUUUGGGAUAACUUCAGGAAACUGGGGCUAAUACCGGAUAGGAGCUCCUGCUGCAUGGUGGGGGUUGGAAAGUUUCGGCGGUUGGGGAUGGACUCGCGGCUUAUCAGCUUGUUGGUGGGGUAGUGGCUUACCAAGGCUUUGACGGGUAGCCGGCCUGAGAGGGUGACCGGCCACAUUGGGACUGAGAUACGGCCCAGACUCCUACGGGAGGCAGCAGUGGGGAAUAUUGCACAAUGGGCGGAAGCCGGAUGCAGCAACGCCGCGUGCGGGAUGACGGCCUUCGGGUUGUAAACCGCUUUCGCCUGUGACGAAGCGUGAGUGACGGUAAUGGGGAAAGAAGCACCGGCUAACUACGU